rnacentral:rRNA from 1 species
UACGUAGGGUGCAAGCGUUAAUCGGAAUUACUGGGCGUAAAGCGUGCGCAGGCGGUUAUGUAAGACAGAUGUGAAAUGCCCGGGCUUAACCUGGGAACUGCAUUUGUGACUGCAUGGCUAGAGUUUGGCAGAGGGGGGGGUAGAAUUCCACGUGUAGCAGCUGAAAUGCGUAGAUAUGUGGAGGAACACCGAUGGCGAAGGCAGCCCCUGGUCAAGACUGACGCUCAUGCACGAAAGCGUGGGAGCAAACAGG